GACGAACGCUGGCGGCGUGCUUAACACAUGCACCUCGAACGGAAAGGCCCUGCUUUUGUGGGGUGCUCGAGUGGCGAACGGGUGAGUAACACGUGAGUAACCUGCCCUUGACUUUGGGAUAACUUCAGGAAACUGGGGCUAAUACCGGAUAGGAGCUCCUGCUGCAUGGUGGGGGUUGGAAAGUUUCGGCGGUUGGGGAUGGACUCGCGGCUUAUCAGCUUGUUGGUGGGGUAGUGGCUUACCAAGGCUUUGACGGGUAGCCGGCCUGAGAGGGUGACCGGCCACAUUGGGACUGAGAUACGGGCCAGACUCCUACGGGAGGCAGCAGUGGGGAAUAUUGCACAAUGGGCGGAAGCCUGAUGCAGCAACGCCGCGUGCGGGAUGACGGACUUCGGGUUGUAAACCGCUUUCGCCUGUGACGAAGCGUGAGUGACGGUAAUGGGUAAAGAAACACCGGCUAACUACGUG
rnacentral:rRNA from 1 species